rfam:Schistosoma haematobium scaffold1493_13, whole genome shotgun sequence.
AUCCAGCUGACGAGACCUAAAUAGGACGAAACACUAGUCCUGGAU